UUUGCAUAUGUUUGUGAUUGAUGGUUAACUCGGGUACCAUGCUUAGUAUGAUUGAUUGAUUGUUGGAUCAUGUACCAUGCCGAUAUGCUAACAUUAUUGAUGGUUGACUCGGAUAUCACGCCUGAUACAGGUGCUAGAGAUCCUCAACAGGCACAUCAUUAAAGAUCCAUUUCUUUCCUGAUAGUGGAACGGAUGACACUCACGAUCACCCCACUCGUGGCUAGAGAUUUGCUUUAGAUUUCAAAAAAGUUGGUGAGUCCUCAUUCUACUGAGGACAAGAAUUUUAUUCAUGUUACUAUUAUUUACACUUUCUUAUAUUGUUAGGGUGAGCUAGGUGCUUGUCCUAAGACCCCGUCAAGACUAGAAUAGAGGCAUGUUUUGACGAUAUUAUGGUGUAGUCCGGUUGGACGUUUAUAAAGUUGAUGUCUCUU